UACGUAGGUGGCAAGCGUUGUCCGGAUUUACUGGGCGUAAAGAGCGCGCAGGCGGUCGGAUAAGUCGCGUGUGAAAGCCCCCGGCUCAACUGGGGAGGGUCACGCGAUACUGUUCGACUCGAAGGCAGGAGAGGGUAGUGGAAUUCCCGGUGUAGUGGUGAAAUGCGUAGAUAUCUGGAGGAACACCGGUGGCGAAGGCGGCGUUCUGGACUGUAACUGACACUGAGGAACGAAAGCCAGGGGAGCAAACGGG
rnacentral:rRNA from 1 species